UUCCUAUAUGGAGGUGGGCCUACUGCUCAGCGAAACAGCCUCCGCUGCGCCUGCCGGAGGUCCUGAGUUCAACCCUUGGCAUCUCCAGCAGGUCCUGGGGCUCAAAAAAAUCCCGGGGGGGGAACCCCUCAUCUCUGGGCAGCAGCUCAGGUUUGCCCCCGCCCAGGACUGUGAGGGCCGGCCCAGGAGGCGGCCGGGGGGGCAAAGGGUUAACGGCGAGGAGGCUCGCGGCUCCGGCGGCUGUUCCUGGUUUAUCCCGAGCCAGGCGAGGAGGCGGCGGCGGCAGCUGGAAGGAAGGCAAGCGAGGAGGAAGAAAGAGCUCCGCAGCGGAGAGCAGGCUGGAAGGGGGAUCGGGGGCGCCCCCUGGCUUGAGCACGCUCCCUCCCGCCCCACGGCAAAAGGAGCCCUUGGGAAACUGAGGCAUUCCGCUUAGGGGCCCCAGAGUGCCUUCCUCGCUAGUCUCUAAAAGGAUUUUCACACAGUUGCUUCCUCUCUCACCUUUACCCUGGGCCUUCAGAGACUGUCAAGUGGAGGCUGCAUCUAGUUCGGCUUUUGAAAGUAAACCAGUGUCUGUUUGGGAAGAGGAGAAGCCUUGGACUCUGCAACUCUUGACUUCUCACCCCAGAGAUGGGCUCAUGGGAUAUGGCUACUUGCUGUGGAGGGAAAUGCUCUCUGCACAUGCUAAGGGCACCCUUAGUUAUCCUCCAUGCUGACACUGGAAAUGGUCAGCUUUCCUCUCCCAAGAUGCAAGGCUUGCUUCUUUUUUCACCAGCUGUAAGCAAGGAAGAAGGGGUAGAGAGGAACAGGAUAGUUUUAGGGUCCUUCCCAAGAUUCAGUGUGAGGCAAGGCUAAUGAAGCAGGCUGCGUUUCAUUUUAUUGAUUUCUUAGAAGACUUCCGUACCGCCUUCCAGAGCCCAAUAGCUCUCGCAAGGUGGUGUGCAAACUCGGGAGUAAACAUAAUUGCAUUCAAAACAUUUGACCCUUAAAAUCAUUAACAGUACAAAUUAAUCCAAAUGCAGCAGUUAAUAAAAGGCAGAUUGAAAUAAACUGCUGCUGAUGGAGCCACGUGCAUGUUCAGGUGGAGGGUGUUCUGCAGGUAUGGGGCUGCCACUCAAAACAAAACAAACCCUCUUUCUGGCACCCAUCAGGCGGGCAUAUCUUACUGAUGGGCCAGAGGACAGAGCUCUUAAUACCGGGGCAUUUGGUCCACAGAACCUCCUGUUCUCCCCACCCUGCUAAAAAAUGGAGAGAGGAAAAAUCCACUCUGUAACUGGCCUAACUUUGAUAAGGAAGGAUGGCUGUGGUGUUUUAAGGGGUAACUGAUCUUAGGAAUCCCAUCCAUCUCCAGUAUCCAGUUUCUGACAGUGGGCAGCCAGAAGCCCCCAGGAAGUCCACAAGAAGCUGUUAAUUCUCUCCCACUAUUGCUCCUCUGCUAUUUGGAGGUAGACUGUCUUUGAACACGGAGGCUCCCUUCAACUUUCGGGAGCAGCAGCUGCUGAUGGGCCUAUCCCUCAUGUAUUUGUCAAUCCUUGCUAAGUGAUGAAAGUUGGAGUGGUGUACAUUUUGGAGCACCUUGUAUUCAAUGUCUUUGCACUGUAUGUUGACUGCUUUAAAUAAAUAAUCAUGGGGAAAGGGGCUUCUCUUUUGGCCAAUAGCUAGAAAUUAUUGUGUUCUGUACACUUGCUUCUUUCCUUUUCACAGGCUCUCACGGGAGCAAUUUGACAAUCACUGAGCAUAGCAUCCAGGCAAUCUCUCCUAAGGCCAUAGAGUUGGAAGGGGACCUUCGAGGUCAUUUAGUCCAACCCUUUGCACAAUGCAGGAUGCAACUACAGCAUCCCUCAAAGGUGGCCCAUCCAGCCUCUCAAAAAUUUCCAGCAAAGGAGAGCCCCCCCUCCCCAAGGCAGUCUAUUUCACUGCCAAACAGUUUGUACUGUUGGUAAGCUUUUCCUAAAGUUUAUGCAAAUCUGCUUACCUGUAAGGUCUAAUCCUGCUCUCUGGAGCAACUGAGGCUGAUCUACCUUUUGCAUGAUGGGCGUUCAGGUAUUUGAAGGCAAGCUAUCAUGCCUCCCCGAAUCUCUAGGCUAAACACACACAGCUCUUUUAAUGUUUCCUCUUAGCACUUGGUUUUUAGACCUUUCUGCUGCCGUUACCAGUUUUUAAAUUCUGCUUGCUGAAGAGUUCUGUGUGAACUGGAAACUUGGCUGCUCUGCUGUUAAGAAAUGUUGACCUAUGGAAAUGUUGAA